GCAUUGGUGGUCAAUGGUAGAAUUCUCGCCUGCCACGCGGGAGGCCCGGGUUCGAUUCCCGGCCAAUGCA
rnacentral:tRNA from 1 species